UGAUCUCAAUUCCCCUCAGGCUUUAUUUUGAAAUAUAAAUGAAGGCCUGUUCAGGGUUAUUGGAUUUGGAGGUUUCAUGCAGGUUCCUUUUGUAAGGGAAUCGGCUCCUCUUAAAAAUAUUAGCUGGAGGAUGAAGCAAAAAUAUAGGCUCAGCAUUGUUCAAUUGGCUUUUAUUGUGUAGUAAUUAUUUCAUCAUAUGCUAUACAGUGCACGGGAAAAUAUAGUCCCAAAGGAGGCUUUUUGUAGCAUUCUCUGCUUCUAGUUUUGUCAGGUCUUAUCUGGCAAUUCAUGUAUUCUU
rnacentral:misc_RNA from 1 species